CGCAAGGGUGCGUAACGCGUGAGCAACUUGCCCGUUUCUGGGGGAAUAACCGGUGGAAACGCCGACGUAAUACUCCAUGGUACAUUUGGGUGAAGGCAUCUCAUUGAUGUUAAAGAUUUAUCGGAAACGGAUAGGCUCGCGUGACAUUAGCUAGAUGGCGGGGUAACGGCCCACCAUGGCGACGAUGUCUAGGGGUUCUGAGAGGAAAGGUCCCCCCACACUGGAACUGAGACACGGUCCAGACUCCUACGGGAGGCAGCAGUGAGGAAUAUUGGUCAAUGGGCGAGAGCCUGAACCAGCCAAGUCGCGUGAGGGAAGACGGUACUAAGUAUUGUAAACCUCUUUUGUCAGGGAACAAAGAGACCACGUGUGGUAAGAUGAGUGUACCUGAAGAAAAAGCAUCGGCUAACUCCGUG
rnacentral:rRNA from 1 species